CAGGCGGAGACAAUAAAGGCAUAUUUACAUAAAAGGUGAACAAAGCCAUCAGCCUAGCAAGUGGGGGAGCAAGCCUCUUCCGGGUGUCUGAACCUCAAAUGUGCUGCACUUGAAGGGAAGAGUGCAUUGACCCCAGGGUAAAAGAUGAGUUUGCUGUAUCUGGACUGAAGCAGAACUGCGACUGUUGCAGAGUCUCCUGAAAAGAUCAUCUGCAUGACUUGAGUUUAGAGGAUCCUGGAGCACGUGGUGAGCUGGAAUGUUGCAUGUCCAGAAAGACUCACUCCAGUCAAAUGUUAUUCAGAACCAUUAUGAAACCAGAGUGCCAUUAGCAGGACUGAAAAGAUGCCAUGUGAGACUGCUCCAGAUGGAUAUGCCGAACUGGGAGCUUUGCAUUUACCUUUAAACCAAAGGAACCCUUCCAUUUCACAAUGACUUUGGGAAAGUUCUGUGCAGCAAGGAG